UCACUUUUGGGACGUGGAUGCACGAAAAUAAAAUUACAAAAAAUGUGGUCAUCGUCAUGUCAACUUUGGUGUCGCCAGCUUUUGCAUGCUCUCCACUCUGUGCAGUUUGGCGGAUUUAGGGCCUGAGCCAGCCAUCGUAACAGCAAAGUUUUGUUUGUGCUGCUUGUGCUGGACCUCCAGUCGUAUGAUUUGACUGAUGACCUCCUGUCAUCAGCAACAAUCACAGCAUCAUAACUCAGAUAAACAGCAUCAUCCGUUUAAUUGGGGAAACUUCCAGUGUCGACCGAGUUGAGGAUAUCUUCAAUUCCCCUUUCUUUAAAGGUCCUCGUGUACGCCCAUGCGAGUGUGGGUGUAUUCACGAGGACUCCCUUUUACCUAUCCCUCUUCUGCUGGAUUCAACUUGUCUGUGGAUGGAGCACCUUUGGAUGCCUGGCUGUAUUUCCCAGGCGCAAAGGCAAAUUUAAAGUGGAAAAUAGAUGGGUACUGCAGGCAAACCCAAAAGGGCUGGCGAUUUGCUUUGCGUUUACCUCUAGAGACGGAAACAAGGAAGUACAACCAUCCAGGAUGAAUUUGGCAUCUUC